AUGAAAUAAUAUAUUUGUUUUUAAUGUUUAAUUUCAAUAUAUUGAAUAGCGCCCAUGAAAAUGCAAUCCAGUACCAGAUCUCCACCACAACUAUGACCUAAAACUCCUCCUGGACAUAAAUCGUCACAUCUGAGAUUCAGUGUGUGACGGAUGCGGUUUUUUUUAUGGGCCCAUACUGGUUUUACUGGAAAGGACAAAGUGUUACAGCAUUAAAACAGCCGUUAAAAGAGCACAGUGUAAAGUAGUGAGAACCAAAACUCGUUGGACUGCGAAGUUUGGAACACAACAAGACUUAUGUAUUUCUUAAAAGAGAGCGACAGCCACAAAGAGACAGGAAAUGAGUCAAGACAUGCAGCAAAGGGGCCGGGCUGGAAUCAAAGCCAGCUGCAGGAAGGACUCCAGCUUAAUACAUAUUACAUGAUCUGCCUGCUGAGUGACUGGUUGCUCCCAGGACCUGCUGUCUAACUGAGAGAUAUCUCCAAACCUGAGAAGAAGACAGAGGAGACACAGUCAGCGGUGAUGGAGCAUCACCAACAUGCUCACUGAGUCGGUUGAUGUCAGAAUCAGUUGAUGUAACUAUAAUGAAGAGCAGGGGACUGUAGAGGAAACCUAAAACAUUUUCAACUACCGGUAAUUAACAAACGUAAAUGCAGCACAGUUACAUGCUGAACAACUCUUUGCCUAUGAGGGAAAGUGAGUAUGUCAUUCGAGUGUUAAAUGCCUCCUUUGCAUAAGGAUUACACUGACUUAAUUUCUGGAUAUAAAUGCAUUUUUUUUUUAAGAGUGAAAAAUAAAGAAUAAACUCCUUUUUUUCCAUAAAAGACUACUGUUUGUUAACAUGUUCACACAAAGACUGCUUGUCCUUUCAGAGAGAACAAAGAGUGUGUGCAGUACCUCUCAGCUAUAGUCUGCUGUUCAUUGAUGCCCACGUUAA